rnacentral:rRNA from 1 species
GGAGGGCCGAACCGACUACCGUUGAAAAGUGAGCGGAUGACCUGUGGAUCGGAGUGAAAGGCUAAUCAAGCGCGGAGAUAGCUGGUUCUCCCCGAAAGCUAUUUAGGUAGCGCCUCGUGUAUCACUGCUGGGGGUAGAGCACUGUUUCGGCUAGGGGGUCAUCCCGACUUACCAACCCGAUGCAAACUCCGAAUACCAGCAAGUGUCAGCACGGGAGACACACGGCGGGUGCUAACGUCCGUCGUGAAACGGGAAACAACCCAGACCG